rnacentral:lncRNA from 1 species
UAGAAAUCAUGUGUCCUGAGAAAACAUCUGUACCACAGAAACUGCAGGUUUUGCUCUGUCCCAAAACAGAACAGUUCUUUGACAUAAGAAAGUAUCACCCUACUACAACAUUUAGUAAGAAAAGCUCAAAUGUAGUUUGAUAUGUCAGUGCAACACAGUUACUUCACUGGCGUUUGUCAGCACACAUGAGAGCAGAUUUCAAAACCUGAAGUCUCCUGGACAGGCUGAUUUGGUUUUGUUGUGAUAAUUCCAAGAAGCUCUCUAGAAAUAAGCACUUCACACUGAAGAAACACAUUCUUAAAGAGAUUGCAGCCUAAAUUGGAAAGGCAGAUGAAGGAUGGGAAGGGAAACAGGCAGGAAGAGAUGACAUAACCACUCUUACCACUUUUCAAGAAUUCAUCAACCGUCAAUCAAAAUUCAACCAGUAGGCGUAAGCUUGACAAAAAUGUCUGACCCACAUAUCAACAGGACUUUUGGUGACCUGAGAGCAGAAAUCAGGAGGAGUUCAGCUGAAGCACUGACAGCAUCUCUGAGCUGGAAUAAUAUGCAUUGUGGUGGGGCCCCGACCUCUGCUUGGACUUCCAGCUCGGUGAUUCACCACGGCUCUGCCACCUGCUUUCUCUGGAACUGUGAGCCGAAACCCCAGCUGAAAACAGCUCAUGUGGAGACGCAGAGAGCUGCUGUCCCCACAGCCCACUUCUGCUCAGGCUCCCAGCCCUGAAUGACAGCUGUGGGGUUAUAUUUAUCACAGGAGUUGAACUAAUGCAAAGCCUGAAUGAGGCCAAAAGUCAGUCCUGUCCAUCAGAGAGCUUCCAGAAGAGACAUGACCACUUUGAUCCUUAAAAAAAGCCUGUGACAGACAGACUCAUGGUUGGUAGUCAUUCUUCAGCACAAAGUAGCUUAACCUUUCUAUAGAAGUUCAUUAUAUCAAGCAAACAAACAAACAAAAAUACACCAAAGUGUACACAUGAUCUCUAUUCCUCAGUUUCGAUAUCCUUGGAUAUGUUGGCCUCUGAGCACCUUGAAAAGGAAGAAACUUUGGACCUGAUUUACUAUUAUAUUCCAAUCCCAUAUAGAGCAUGGAAGAACGAACAUAUCUUUGGUUGAAGAGUUGCUGUGGUAUUGACAGUGACUGGAGGAUUUGCAAAG